UAAGUACAACAUUUAAGUAAUUUUUGAAUGCAUAAAAACACCAAGCUUUAGUAAUUCUUGGUCAGAACCAUGUUAUAUGCUCUUGCGCUCUAUCAAGCUUGGGCCAGCUGGUACAUCCCGCCAGUUUCAGUAAAUAAUUAUUCCAUUGCAGGCAUUUGCGGCAUAUCUGGAACUCCUCGAUCUUGUGGGUCAAGUUGAGGAGGUGAGGCUUCCCAGAGUUGUUCCCAGAGACCGGCAAAACCCAUUCACCUGUCUCUCUGAGGAGGACUUCAUAGAUCGCUACCGUCUCUCACCAGCUUGCACACUCCAACUGCUUGAGAAUGUACAGCCCCAACUACCCAGAGCACGAGAUGGCAGAGGCUGCAGUGUUCCUGGUCACCUGCAGCUUCUUGUAGCAUUACGCUACUUUGCCAGCGGGAACUUCCAGUUAACCAUGGCAGACUGUUUGGAGAUGUCUGCUUCUUCAGUCUGCAAAUUUGUUCACCGCAUAGCUGUUAUACUAGCACGCAUGUCACCUAAUUACAUCAAGUUUCCUGAACCUGCCAAUACACGUCAGGUAGCAGAGGACUUUCAUGCUGUCGCUGGCAUGCCUGGUGUCAUCGGCUGUAUUGAUGGAACAUUGAUUCCAAUUGUGAGUCCUGGCGGAGACACUGCAGAAUUAUACCGCUGUAGGAAGGGUUACCUCGCCCUAAAUGUCAUGGCAGUUUGCGAUGAAAAAAUGCGUUUCACUAAUGUCAUUAGUGGUUGGCCAGGAAGUGUCCAUGACAGCCGCAUUUUUGAUAAUUCUAGGCUUUGUCAGAAAUUAGAAUAUGAAGGUUACUCAGGUUAUCUUUUGGGAGAUUCAGGGUACGCAUGCAAGUCUUACUUGUUGACUCCGGCACUGGAUCCCCAAACUGAACAAGAAAACAGAUAUAAUGCAUCACAUAUACGCACACGCAACACUGGAGGAAUCUGACAAAUAAAUAUUAUUUUUGUA